rnacentral:rRNA from 1 species
ACCCGCUGAACUUAAGCAUAUCAAUAAGCGGAGGAAAAGAAACCAACAAGGAUUGCCUUAGUAACGGCGAGUGAAGCGGCAAAAGCUCAAAUUUGAAAUCGGCCACCAGGUCGAGUUGUAAUUUGUAGAUUGUAUCUUGAGAGCGGAUUAAAGUCUGUUGGAACACAGUGCCUUAGAGGGUGACAGCCCCGUAAAAUCUAUUCUCAUUGUAAGAUACUUUCGAAGAGUCGAGUUGUUUGGGAAUGCAGCUCUAAGUGGGAGGUAAAUUCCUUCUAAAGCUAAAUAUUGACGAGAGACCGAUAGCGAACAAGUACUGUGAAGGAAAGAUGAAAAGCACUUUGAAAAGAGAGUGAAAAAGUACGUGAAAUUGUUAAAAGGGAAGGGUAUUGAAUUAGACUUGGUGCUGUUGUUCAACUGUGUUUCGGCAUAGUGUACUCAGCAGUACUAGGCCAAGGUGGGGUGUUUGGGAGUGAAAAAGAAGUUGGAACGUAACUCUUCGGAGUGUUAUAGCCUACUUUCAUAGCUCCUCAGGCGCCUCAGGACUGCGCUUCGGCAAGGACCUUGGCAUAAUGAUUCUAUACCGCCCGUCUUGAAAUACGGACCAAGGAG